UUUAUUGAAACUUCGGUCGAUUUAAUUUAAUUCUAGUGGCGGACGGGUGAGUAACGCGUGGGUAACCUGCCUUAUACGAGGGGGAUAACAGUCAGAAAUGGCUGCUAAUACCGCAUAAGCGCACAGAGCUGCAUGGCUCAGUGUAGAAAAACUCCGGGUGGUAGUGGGAGUCGGGCCCGCGUCUGUAUUAGGCAGUUGGCGGGGUAACGGCCCACCAAACCGACGAUCAGUAGCCGGCCUGAGAGGGCGACCGGCCACAUUGGGACUGAGACACGGCCCAAACUCC
rnacentral:rRNA from 1 species